rnacentral:rRNA from 1 species
UACAGAGGGUGCAAGCGUUAAUCGGAAUUACUGGGCGUAAAGCGUGCGUAGACGGUUAUGUAAGUCAGAUGUGAAAGCCCCGGGCUCAACCUGGGAAUUGCAUUUGAGACUGCAUAGCUAGGGUGCGGAAGAGGGAAGCGGAAUAUGUCAUGUAGCGGUGAAAUGCUUAGAUAUGACAUAGAACACCGAUAGCGAAGGCAGCUUACUACAUGGAGAUUGACGCUGAGGCACGAAAGCGUGGGGAGCAAACAGG